rnacentral:misc_RNA from 1 species
GAUGAAGAACGUAGUGAAAUGCGAUAAUUAAUGUGAAUUGCAGAAUUCAGUGAACCAUCGAAUCUUUGAACGCACAUUGCGCCCGCUGGAACUCCGGCGGGCACGCCUGUCCGAGCGUCAUUUCAACCCUCAGGCCCCCCUUCGCGGGCGGGCCUGGUGUUGGGGCCCGGCCGCUACCCUGCGGCCGUCCCCUAAAUUCAGUGGCGGCCUCGCCGUGAUCCCUUGCGUAGUAAUGCACCUCGCACCGGAGAGCGCCGUGGCCACGCCGUAAAACCCCCAAUUUUCAAUGGUUGACCUCGGAUCAGGUGGGAAUACCCGCUGAACUUAAGCAUAUCAAUAAGCGGAGGA